CCUACGUGUGGCAGCAGUGGGGAAUAUUGCACACUGGGGGAAACCCUGAUGCAGCGACGCCGCGUGUGGGAAGACGGUCCUCUGGAUUGUAAACCACUGUCCCCAGGGACCAAGAUGACGGUACCUGGGGCGUAAGCUCCGGCUAACUACGUGCAAGCAGCCACUGUCAUACGUAGGGAGCGAGCGUUGUCCGGCAUUACUGGGUGUAAAGGGAGCGUAGGCGGGGAUGCAAGUUGGGGGUAAAAACUACGGGCUCAACUGGUAGUCGCACUGAAACCUGCAGCUAUUGAGUGAAGUAGAGGCAGGCGGAAUUCCUAGUGUAGCGGUGAAAUGCGUAGAUAUUAGGAGGAACACCAGUGGCGAAGGCGGCCUGCUGGGCUUUUACUGACGCUGAGGCUCGAAAGUGUGGGGAGCAAACAGGAUUAGAUACCCUAGUAGUC
rnacentral:rRNA from 1 species